rnacentral:rRNA from 1 species
GAUAAUAUUCCGGUUGAAUUUUAUCAACAUUGCUGGGAGGUCGUAGCUCCGGACCUAUUUGCUCUGUUUGAAUGGUUCUAUGAGGGGAAACUGGAUGUGCAAAGGCUGAACUAUGGCAUUAUUACCUUAUUGCCUAAAUCGACUGAUGCUAGUAGAAUACAGCAAUAUAGACCAAUUUGUUUAUUGCGUUGUCCGUACAAACUUAUUACCAAGGUCAUGUACCUUAUGGCUGGAAAAUAUGCACAUAAACUGUUUAGCAUACAACAAAAUGCUUUUAUCAAGGGGAGGCAUAUAGUAGAUGGCAUUUUAUCC